AUGAACGCUGGCGGCGUGCCUAAUACAUGCAAGUCGAGCGAACGGACGAGAAGCUUGCUUCUCUGAUGUUAGCGGCGGACGGGUGAGUAACACGUGGAUAACCUACCUAUAAGACUGGGAUAACUUCGGGAAACCGGAGCUAAUACCGGAUGAUAUUUUGAACCGCAUGGUUCAAAAGUGAAAGACGGUCUUGCUGUCACUUAUAGAUGGAUCCGCGCUGCAUUAGCUAGUUGGUAAGGUAACGGCUUACCAAGGCAACGAUGCAUAGCCGACCUGAGAGGGUGAUCGGCCACACUGGAACUGAGACACGGUCCAGACUCCUACGGGAGGCGGCAGUAGGGAAUCUUCCGCAAUGGGCGAAAGCCUGACGGAGCAACGCCGCGUGAGUGAUGAAGGUCUUCGGAUCGUAAAACUCUGUUAUUAGGGAAGAACAUAUGUGUAAGUAACUGUGCACAUCUUGACGGUACCUAAUCAGAAAGCCACGGCUAACUACGUG
rnacentral:rRNA from 1 species